AACUUAAAAUUUAAAAAAUAAUUCAAUGCAUGGACUUUACAUGGUAAGAUACGUUAAUAGCAUAAAGUAUUUGUUUGUUUCUUCAUUUCAAACAAUUUUUUCCCUGCUGCUUCACUACGUGAGGCAUCUACUCCGGGUGAGAGAGCUUUUCUGUUACUGUAUUAUGUUCUCUCGAGUGGUGCCGUGUAAAAACUCAUGAGGCAGAUGCUUGACUUAUUAAUCUUUUAACAUAGGAUGUUUAAUGUAGGACUUUUGUGUGUAAUACUUGAAAGAGUUGCCCUUAUAUAUCCAUCUUACCCUCAGCCCAUCUCCUCAGCAGCCUGAGGGUACGGGGGCGGGGAACACAGCAGAGGCUCACUGCAUAUAGUCACUUUUGCACAAUUUAGUAAAUUCAGCAGUUAGAUUACAUUUUCAGAAUAUUACAUGAAAAUAGGUUUCUCAGCUUCUACAAAUCACUCCCUUUACACAACCAAGGACAAUGAAAGCUCCAUUUUUUAAACUGUAGAUCUAUGUAAAAAGGAAAAAUUGGGGCACAUUCACCUUGGCCAGUGGGAGGGAAGGAUGGGUGGAUGAGUGGUGGUUUCAAACUUAGUGUAUGUCUACGCUGGAGCUGGAGGUGUAACUUUAAGCUCAGGUGUAGACAUACCUGCGUUAGCUCUGAUUGAGCCGGCAUGCUAAAAACACAAGCGUAGCUGCAGUGGCACUGUACUUGGAAGGCUGUCUUGCCACUCGUGCCGCCACAGCUACACUUCUGUUUUCAGCAUGCUAGCACUGAGCUAUGUCUACCCGAGUUGGAGAUUGCAUCUCCAGCUCCAGUAUGGACACAGCCUUAGUGUGUCUGUCCCGAUCCCCCAACCCAAAGUGUCUUCUCUAUUUUGAUUUUCUUCUCCCAUUAACAAAAUAGGAAUACUUGAGUUACCCUCAAACUAGGUGUGCGACCCAGAGCUUAUUCCCGUGGACCCCAAGAGAUUCAGACCGAGCAUGUCUUCAGAAAUGUCUGCAAUGCUUUCAGGCUUGUAAAAUGUGAACAUGACUAACUAAAAACGUAAUCCUAUUGAUCUGCUGUUCAAAGUUCUGCUCGCUACAGUGAAGAUUUUGUCUUGCUGCUAAUUAACGCUGUGUAAAAGCUUUUAAAAAUUGCUUUAAAAUGAAAAACUACCAUUUAAAAUCAAGUUUCCUUGGGCGCCAUUGAUUCUGAAGUGCCUUUGAUUUGCACCAAGAUCUAGUUUCAAUCUAAAUUUCUUUGUGUUUAGCCCUGACUUUGCGAGAGACAUCUUAGAUGCUGGGAAGCCUGCUUUUUACUGUUUUACAAUUUUUAGAAAUGGCAGUAUUGCUUACCACCUGUGUAGGCAGGGACUCAAAUCUUCACAUCCACAUCAUACACAUUCUUAGCUUACAGGACAUUUCAACAAAGCACCUGCCUAAUACCUUUUGUAGGGUAAAUGAGAAUUCUGGUGCUGAGGCUUAUUUUGUCCUUCAUCUGUAAGCCAAGGCCAAUGAUCAUAAGCCUUUAACAAUACAUGGUGUCCCAAGUCGUGUCUAAGCUAAUGAGAUGUGCAGCAUCCUACAACUGUUAACUUAGAACUGUCUCCAGCCUCACAGGAAAGAUGCGUGUCAUUCUGGUAGUGCUGAUUACUAACUUGUUCAUCAGGCAGUGAAUGUGAUAUUGGAA